GGCAUUCUCCAGACAAGAAUACUGGAGUGGGUCGCCAUGCCCUCCUCCAGGGGAUCUUCCCGACCCAGGGACUGACGCGUGUCUCUUGUGUCUCCUGAACUGGCAGAAAGCAGCUUGGGGGAGAAUGGACGAGAGCUCUUCUACCUGACUCAGGUGAGCGACCUUCAGUGUGAGAAAUCCGAGGAACAAGCCUUGAUUUCAGGGGUCAAAGCAGACCCAAAAUUCUUCAGAAAUGCCAGGAAGAGAAGCUGUGGGGCCCACUGCCCACUUCAUGGCAGGCUGGUCAAGCUGCUGCUGACGGCCGUGGAAGUGACAUCAGAGAGAAGGGCUGACUCACAUCCUCGAGACUCCAGCAGGAGAUUACAUGGAGCCGGUGACCCCGGGGUGUCUGUGCAACACCCAGCAGCUGGGCCCUCGGGUCACUUGUGUCGGCUUCUCUGUCACAGUGUCGCCUACAGACUGUCCUGGGAGAUGUGCAGUGUUUUGAAGGAGAAAACUUAGAUGCAGACAUUAUCAG
ensembl:lncRNA